AUGAAAUGGGAUUCCAUCAAAACUUCUAAUGACUCUAUUUUUCUCAAUCUUAAGGCCUUCUCUACUGAGCGUGUAGCUUAUUCUAGUCAGAAGCAUGGGAAGAUAAAUGAGAAGAUGAUUUUCGUUGUAGCCAUUCAACUGUCUUUGGCAGCUAAGCAAGAUGUGAUGGAUGAUCAAUUGAAAACCAUGAUUGCAGGACAAGAUGAAACGGUCUCCGAUUUGAAAGCUAUCGUGGAACUUCUAAAGCAAAAACACCAGGCUUUAAUAUUUUAG